UACGUAGGGUCCGAGCGUUGUCCGGAAUUACUGGGCGUAAAGCGCACGUAGGCGGAUCGUUAAGUCGAGGGUGAAAUCCUGGAGCUCAACUCCAGGACUGCCUUCGAUACUGGCGAUCUCGAGUCCGGAAGAGGUGAGUGGAACUCCUAGUGUAGAGGUGGAAUUCGUAGAUAUUAGGAAGAACACCAGUGGCGAAGGCGGCUCACUGGUCCGGUACUGACGCUGAGGUGCGAAAGCGUGGGGAGCAAACAGG
rnacentral:rRNA from 1 species